CUCAUUUUUGAUGGCUGCUG
rnacentral:piRNA from 1 species